GAGACUCUCAUCAGUCUAUUUGAUUUGUAGGUCCAUGACGAUCAAGUUUGAUUCAGUCCUCAGCCCAUGCAAAUAUACGUUAGCUGAACUGGAAGAGGGCCACUGGAUGGUAACUGAGCAGAUCUUGCUGCCUAAUGACAUGGAUUGCUUCAUUUUCCAAGGAGUUACAAAUUGUACUGAAGACUGUGCAAUCAUUAGAGGAAACUGGAGUACCCAGAGGAAACCCACGCAGACACAAGGAGAAUGUGCAAGC